ACCCAAAAUCUUCAAAAUGAAUCACGGGAUAUUGUUUCCAUGAUAAAGGUAAUUUUCCCUAUUAUGAAAUCUCUACAUAUGAUAUGAGAGCAAGGUUAUGAAAAGAUACACAAAAUCCAAAGGACCUCCCAAUUCUAAUGCUGAAGUAUGCUAAAAUCUAAAAAAUUUCAAUUGUAUGGAUCUCUAUUAUUAGACUAAGCUA
rnacentral:misc_RNA from 1 species